UACGAAGGGGGCUAGCGUUGUUCGGAUUUACUGGGCGUAAAGCGCACGUAGGCGGAUCGUUAAGUCAGGGGUGAAAUCCUGGAGCUCAACUCCAGAACUGCCUUUGAUACUGGCGAUCUUGAGUCCGGAAGAGGUGAGUGGAACUGCGAGUGUAGAGGUGAAAUUCGUAGAUAUUCGCAAGAACACCAGUGGCGAAGGCGGCUCACUGGCCCGGUACUGACGCUGAGGUGCGAAAGCGUGGGGAGCAAACAGG
rnacentral:rRNA from 1 species